UGGGGAAUCUUGGACAAUGGGCGCAAGCCUGAUCCAGCCAUGCCGCGUGAGUGAAGAAGGCCUUCGGGUUGUAAAGCUCUUUUGGCGGGGAAGAUAAUGACGGUACCCGCAGAAUAAGCUCCGGCUAACUUCGUGCCAGCAGCCGCGGUAAUACGAAGGGAGCUAGCGUUGUUCGGAAUCACUGGGCGUAAAGCGCACGUAGGUGGAUAGUUAAGUGAGGGGUGAAAGCCCGAGGCUCAACCUCGGAAUUGCCUCUCAUACUGGCUGUCUCGAGUCCGAGAGAGGUGGGUGGAAUUCCUAGUGUAGAGGUGAAAUUCGUAGAUAUUAGGAAGAACACCGGUGGCGAAGGCGACCACCUGGACUGAUACUGACACUGAGGUGCGAAAGCGUGGGGAGCAAACAGGAUUAGAUACCCUUGUAGUCCCUGAGCGGGCUGGCAAGGCGCAU
rnacentral:rRNA from 1 species